UAACUGCGAGUGAAGCGGGAAAAGCUCAAAUUUAAAAUCUGGCGGUCCUUGGCUGUCCGAGUUGUAAUUUAGAGAAGCGUCUUCCGCGCUGGACCGUGCACAAGUCUCCUGGAAUGGAGCGUCAUAGAGGGUGAGAAUCCCGUCUUUGGCAUGGAUGCCCAGUGCUUCUGUGAUGCGCUCUCAAAGAGUCGAGUUGUUUGGGAAUGCAGCUCAAAAUGGGUGGUGAACUCCAUCUAAAGCUAAAUAUUGGCGAGAGACCGAUAGCGAACAAGUACCGUGAGGGAAAGAUGAAAAGCACUUUGGAAAGAGAGUGAAACAGUACGUGAAAUUGUUGAAAGGGAAACGCUUGAAGUCAGUCGCGUCGUCCGAGACUCAGCCUUGCCUCGGCUUGGUGUACUUCUCGGCUCGACGGGUCAGCAUGAAUUUUGCACCUCGGAUAAUGGCAAGGGAAAGGUGGCACCUUUGCGGGUGUGUUAUAGUCUCAUGUCGCAUGCGAGGGGUGAGAUUGAGGAACUCAGCGUGCGCCUUUGGUGUCGGGGCUUCGGCCCACGUAACGCGCUUAGGAUGCUGGCGUAAUGGCUUUAAACGACCCGUCUUGAAACACGGACCAAGGAGUCCAACAUGCCCGCGAGUGUUCGGGUGGAAAACCCGUGCGCGUAAUAAAAGUGAAAGUUGGGACCUCUGUCGUGGAGGGCACCGACGCCCGGACCAGACCUUCUGUGACGGAUCUGCGGUAGAGCGUGUAUGUUGGGACCCGAAAGAUGGUGAACUAUGCCUGAAUAGGGUGAAGCCAGAGGAAACUCUGGUGGAGGCUCGUAGCGAUUCUGACGUGCAAAUCGAUCGUCAAAUUUGGGUAUA
rnacentral:rRNA from 1 species